rnacentral:lncRNA from 1 species
GAAAAAUAAGGAACUAACAUUAAAAUUAAAUAUGAUAGUAUCUCAAAAAUACCAAAUAAGACAUUAAAGUGCAACCAAAGUGAAGGAAAACAAUAGAAGAAAAUAGAAAGUGCAAAAACAAACCAAAAGGUGCAUGAUGCAAAUGUAUGAGUGGUCUAAACUACAACUAAUCAUCCCUAGAUGAUGAUAGAAGAAAACAAGAAAGUAGUUAAGCCACUUGCUCCUCCAAAAUUCCUAUCAUAGAACCUAGAUUACUAACAUUAUCAUUAACAUGACCAAAACCAUUAUCGACUCGAGUAUUAAAUCUUCUAAACUCCUCACUCAAAGAAGUAACAGCGCCAAGGAUGGUAGUAGACAAUUCGUCAAGUGAGAAAGUGUUGAUGGUUGAGAAAAUGAAGAAGUUGGUGGAGGAGCUUACUCGGCAAGAGGUGGAAUGUCAUCAAGAUCAACUCUAAGGUCUUCAUCGUCAUUAGGUGCGUGCUGGCCUACUCUCUCCCAUUCUCUAGUAGUCGAAUUUUGUUUGUAGUUGGUAUGAUGAAGUGCCCCAAUGCUAAUAGGUUAUGUUUUCGGAUAGGGGUAUCGACAUGAGUAUUUAUUCUUAAACGAGUGAAAAUGUAAGAAAGAUAAGUCCCAAUAGGUAAGGUUAAAUAGCUACCUAUAUCCCUCCCAAUAAUUUUGGCUAUGUCAUUGAACAUAAUAAGAGUAAUGGAUGGACGCCUAUUAAACUUGAAAUAAUCAAUCCACCAAUAGUUGAUGUUUCGAAUGACGAUAUGUUUAGAAAUAGGUUUAAAGAUCUAAGAGAUGAUAAGAUGCAAGAUUUGAUCAUGCAAAUCUAAAUUUACAGCAAGGUUGCAGGGAACAUAGAUGGUGGGAUUAAAUAGACCUUUUUCGUUUGACACACCACUGAGAGGUAAUGAUAAAAGAUUUGCGAAAUCUUCUAAGGUCAGGAAAAAUUGUGUAUUCAUAAGAUAAGAGUUGAUAGUAAUAACAUGUUCGCCAGACCCAUUAUGUUCGAGCUUAGCGUUACAAUAAAAAGUUCGGGCAAGGUUUUCGUAAGUUGGAGAAAAGAUUCUAAAGAAGUCAAGCUAUUGCCACUCACAUAAAAUAAGAAGAGAAUGAAAAUUAAACAUUUCUAAGCAAUUAAGGUCUAUAAUUCUAGAAGUAUUAACACAACUAGUGGUGAAGUUUUUAUUAAAACAUUCUCGUUCUCCCAGGUAACGAAAACAUUCAUCAAAAGAUGAAUUAGAACCACUAGAGAUGAGGGACCGGAGCGAGAUCAUUUCUUAACAGUCAUAAUGAUAACCUAAGGCUCUAAAACACACUAAGUUCACUAAGAAAUUUCGUUUGGGAAUUUCUACAAACACUUGGUGAGCAAAAGGUUAAAACAAAAUUUUGAAUAUUAAUGUGGGCAAAAAUAGGCAACCUCGUGCACAACAACACAGUAUAUAGAUUCUAAAUCAUCCCAAAAACAAAUUUCCAAACAAAAAUUUAACAAAUAUUGAACGAAAUUCGAAACAAAUGAAAAAAAUUUACCUCAAAAUUUUUUCAAAAUGAUGGAAAUUAAAAACAAAUCUAUUGAAUCCUUGUAUAAAAUGACAAUGUUAGUUGUUCAGAUUCAAGAUUUUAAGUAAAAGAUCGACAUUUUGAAGUUUUGUGAAGUUAAGGUUGAGAGCUUUUAAAAAUUGGGUAAAAAAAAUUAGGGAAUUUUUGCGUUUUGAAAUAAAGAGACACGGUGCAAAAUCUUUAAAUCUCGAUAGGUAUAAAGGGGUAUGAUAUUUUUUUUGAAAUUGAUAAUUUUAAAUAGGUAUUGGUACCAAAUGCCCAGUUUAUUUUCUAAAGUGCAGAAGAAUUUUUCCAACCUGAUUUUUAAGUUCUCAUAUGUUCUAAACUAACCUAAAAUUACUUUUUAGUAAGUUUUAAUGAUUUCAUAUGCUUAAAUAUGUAAAAUUUAAG